UGUAACUCCCUAUCAUUCUGAUUUUAUAAAUUCCUCAGUGGGUUAAAUUCAGUUUGUAUCUCUAGUGUGAAGAUACUAGAAGCGUUGUGACUUUCCCGCUGUCUGACGUGGAGAAGUGGAGCCUUGGUGGGCAUGAGUGAGCUCCCAUACACUUUUAAUUUGAGUAAAACCGUAGUUCUAACGUUAUGGGGUGGUCAUAAUGUUUUGCAGGAAGCCGGGGUGGUUGAGUACGGGGAGUGUCCAAUUCAGCUCUUCCUGUGUGUGUGAUCACCUGUUCCCCUCCGCGCUGAUGCUCCUCCCUUUGCAAUAGUGCUACUGUUUUUUUCCUUAUUGUUUUUUUUUUUGUUCUACGUAUUUGUUACAUUUCACGUUAAUUAUUUUUAUAUAUAUAUUUAUGCAGUCAUUGUUUGUGAGCUGCCUCUGGUGAGCGGCAGUGGUUUAUUUUGUUUUUUUUUUUUAUCUUGAACGUGCGUUGCACGUGAUUCAGCGCGUUGCACGUGAUUCAGCGCGUUGCACGUGGCUCAGCGCGUGGUUUGUGUGUGUGUGUGUGUGUGUGUCUGUGAUUGUUUUCCUAUACUUCCCGUGCUCUGAAUUGCGCGCUGCUGCGGGAGAGAACCCGUAUGGCGCUGUGAGCGAUGACAGGCUGCUGAGGUGGUGAAGUCUAACUGGGUUUUCUAAGUGGUGUUUGUGUGCUGUGUAGUGGGGACUCCUCUCGCCUGCAGUCAGCACUGUUCACAGUGUGCUCCAGCCCUGUUCAGGUUUUGUUUUUGGUUGUUUGUGUGAUUGUGUUUUCUUCUUUUUUUGUUAAUUAAAUUUAUUUUGAAUUAUUAUUGUGAUUUUUUUGUUAAAAUGCAAUAUUUAUUAAAAUUUGAAUUUUAAAUAGAA